rnacentral:rRNA from 1 species
AACGAACGCUGGCGGCAGGCCUAACACAUGCAAGUCGAGCGAGGACUUCGGUCCUAGCGGCGGACGGGUGAGUAACGCGUGGGAACGUGCCCUUUGCUUCGGAAUAGCCCUGGGAAACUGGGAGUAAUACCGGAUGAGCCCUUUGGGGGAAAGAUUUAUCGGCGAAGGAUCGGCCCGCGUUGGAUUAGGUAGUUGGUGGGGUAAUGGCCUACCAAGCCGACGAUCCAUAGCUGGUUUGAGAGGAUGAUCAGCCACACUGGGGCUGAGACACGGCCCAGACUCCUACGGGAGGGAGCAGUGGGGAAUCUUAGACAAUGGGGGAAACCCUGAUCUAGCCAUGCCGCGUGAGCGAUGAAGGCCUUAGGGUUGUAAAGCUCUUUCAGCUGGGAAGAUAAUGACGGUACCAGCAGAAGAAGCCCCGGCUAACUCCGUG